UGAUAUAUCAAGGAAUCCAUCUUCUCACGUGGGAAACAACUUGCACCUCCAACUAGCAACACUAUAAGAAGGGCCGAGCAAGCGGUAACAUAGCCAAACAAAGGUUUGGUGGGAUGUGGAUGGGAUAGAAGCUUUUCAUGGCAAUGUUGGGAGGCUUAACAUAACAGGAGGUAGGCAGCUAGACAUAGCGAUAGAAAUGAUAGAACUAGCAUAGAGAGGAUAGUAACGGUAUCUAGGGAAAUGAUCAUCUUGCAUGAGAUCCCGCUUGGCAGAAGAACGAGUCCGUGAAGUAGAUGAACCAACGAAGUUGAAUGAAUCCUCACACUCCGAAGAAGUUUGGAACUCUAUCGAUA
rnacentral:lncRNA from 1 species